rnacentral:rRNA from 1 species
GUCGAGCGGUAGAGAGAAGCUUGCUUCUCUUGAGAGCGGCGGACGGGUGAGUAAUGCCUAGGAAUCUGCCUGGUAGUGGGGGAUAACGCUCGGAAACGGACGCUAAUACCGCAUACGUCCUACGGGAGAAAGCAGGGGACCUUCGGGCCUUGCGCUAUCAGAUGAGCCUAGGUCGGAUUAGCUAGUUGGUGAGGUAAUGGCUCACCAAGGCGACGAUCCGUAACUGGUCUGAGAGGAUGAUCAGUCACACUGGAACUGAGACACGGUCCAGACUCCUACGGGAGGCAGCAGUGGGGAAUAUUGGACAAUGGGCGAAAGCCUGAUCCAGCCAUGCCGCGUGUGUGAAGAAGGUCUUCGGAUUGUAAAGCACUUUAAGUUGGGAGGAAGGGCAGUAAAUUAAUACUUUGCUGUUUUGACGUUACCGACAGAAUAAGCACCGGCUAACUCUGUGCCAGCAGCCGCGGUAAUACAGAGGGUGCAAGCGUUAAUCGGAAUUACUGGGCGUAAA